rnacentral:lncRNA from 1 species
AGAAAGCCCGAGCUCACCGCCGCCACCCGCGAGGUGAGGAGGUGCGGGGCGGACCCGACGGCUCCGCGUGAGGCGCUGCCAUGGCGGCCUGCCCGCCGGGAGCCGUUACCAGGGCAACGCGCGUGAGGCAACAGAUUUGAAGGAGGAGGUGGAAUACAGAGCUUUGAUGAUGCCUUCUACAUUGACUGAUUCCUCCAGACAGACAUGUGGCAGUUAUGAUGGACAGGAACAUGUAAAUCUUCACUGAGUAUGAAUUAACAAUUAGAAAAUAAAGGAGUGAAACAAACAAGAGGAGAAGACAAAAAUGUAUAAAGUACGAGUGGAGAGGCAGCAGGAAGAACGCACAUCUUGAGCAUAAAGAUCUGAUGCUGAUAAGUCAAGAUUUGGAAGGACCUCCUUGAGUCACUGGAGGGCUGACUGUUGUGGGAGCAUCAAGAAAAGCUGAGCCAGCAAAAGUUUCAAGGUCCUGAAGAGUUUUGCACCUGGCCCACCACAUCAGUGCUGCACUUGUGCCUGAUCACCAGGGACAAUUGUGUUCCUGUUUCCAUUGUGCAGUCAUGCAGAAAACAUCUCUCAUCCGAGCUCGAAGCGGUGGCGUGAGUUACACAUUGGUGGUGUG